rnacentral:rRNA from 1 species
AGCGACAGGCUAACACAUGCAAGUCGAGGGGCAGCACGGGAGUAGCAAUACAACGUGGUGGCGACCGGCGCACGGGUGAGUAACGCGUAUGCAACCUACCUAUCAGAGGGGAAUAACCCGGCGAAAGUCGGACUAAUACCGCAUAAAACAGGGGCACCGCAUGGUGAUAUUUGUUAAAGAAAUUCGCUGAUAGAUGGGCAUGCGUUCCAUUAGGUAGUUGGUGAGGUAACGGCUCACCAAGCCGACGAUGGAUAGGGGAACUGAGAGGUUGGUCCCCCACACUGGUACUGAGACACGGACCAGACUCCUACGGGAGGCAGCAGUGAGGAAUAUUGGUCAAUGGGCGAGAGCCUGAACCAGCCAAGUCGCGUGAAGGAAGAAGGAUCUAUGGUUCGUAAACUUCUUUUGCAGGGGAAUAAAGUGCGGGACGUGUCCUGUUUUGUAUGUACCCUGAGAAUAAGGAUCGGCUAACUCCGUGCCAGCCGCCGC